rnacentral:rRNA from 1 species
UACGUAGGGGGCAAGCGUUGUCCGGAAUCAUUGGGCGUAAAGCGCGUGUAGGCGGCCCGGUAAGUCCGCUGUAAAAAGUCCAGGGCUCAACCCUGGAAGGCCGGUGGAUACUGUCGGGCUCGAGUCCGGAAGAGGCGAGUGGAAUUCCUGGUGUAGCGGUGAAAUGCGCAGAUAUCAGGAGGAACACCAAUGGCGAAGGCAGCUCGCUGGGACGGUACUGACGCUGAGACGCGAAAGCGUGGGGAGCAAACAGG